rnacentral:rRNA from 1 species
UGGGGAAUUUUGGACAAUGGGGGAAACCCUGAUCCAGCCAUCCCGCGUGUGCGAUGAAGGCCUUCGGGUUGUAAAGCACUUUUGGCAGGAAAGAAACGUCAUGGGUUAAUACCCCGUGAAACUGACGGUACCUGCAGAAUAAGCACCGGCUAACUACGUGCCAGCAGCCGCGGUAAUACGUAGGGUGCAAGCGUUAAUCGGAAUUACUGGGCGUAAAGCGUGCGCAGGCGGUUCGGAAAGAAAGAUGUGAAAUCCCAGAGCUCAACUUUGGAACUGCAUUUUUAACUACCGGGCUAGAGUGUGUCAGAGGGAGGGGGAAUUCCGCGUGUACAAGUGAAUUCCGUAGUUAUGCGGGGGAACACCGAUGGCGAAGGCAGCCUCCUGGAAUAACACUGACGCUAAUGAACGAAAGCGUGGGGAGAAAACAG